GACGAACGCUGGCGGCGUGCUUAACACAUGCAAGUCGAACGGAAAGGCCCUGCUUUUGUGGGGUGCUCGAGUGGCGAACGGGUGAGUAACACGUGAGUAACCUGCCCUUGACUUUGGGAUAACUUCAGGAAACUGGGGCUAAUACCGGAUAGGAGCUCCUGCUGCAUGGUGGGGGUUGGAAAGUUUCGGCGGUUGGGGAUGGACUCGCGGCUUAUCAGCUUGUUGGUGGGGUAGUGGCUUACCAAGGCUUUGACGGGUAGCCGGCCUGAGAGGGUGACCGGCCACAUUGGGACUGAGAUACGGCCCAGACUCCUACGGGAGGCAGCAGUGGGGAAUAUUGCACAAUGGGCGGAAGCCUGAUGCAGCAACGCCGCGUGCGGGAUGACGGCCUUCGGGUUGUAAACCGCUUUCGCCUGUGACGAAGCGUGAGUGACGGUAAUGGGUAAAGAAGCACCGGCUAACUACGUACCAGCAGCCGCGGUGAUACGUAGGGUGCGAGCGUUGUCCGGAUUUAUUGGGCGUAAAGGGCUCGUAGGUGGUUGAUCGCGUCGGAAGUGUAAUCUUGGGGCUUAACCCUGAGCGUGCUUUCGAUACGGGUUGACUUGAGGAAGGUAGGGGAGAAUGGAAUUCCUGGUGGAGCGGUGGAAUGCGCAGAUAUCAGGAGGAACACCAGUGGCGAAGGCGGUUCUCUGGGCCUUUCCUGACGCUGAGGAGCGAAAGCGUGGGGAGCGAACAGGCUUAGAUACCCUGGUAGUCCACGCUGUAAACGGUGGGUACUAGGUGUGGGGUCCAUUCCACGGGUUCCGUGCCGUAGCUAACGCUUUAAGUACCCCGCCUGGGGAGUACGGCCGCAAGGCUAAAACUCAAAGGAAUUGACGGGGCCCCGCACAAGCGGCGGAGCAUGCGGAUUAAUUCGAUGCAACGCGUAGAACCUUACCUGGGUUUGACAUGGAUCGGGAGCGCUCAGAGAUGGGUGUGCCUCUUUUGGGGUCGGUUCACAGGUGGUGCAUGGCUGUCGUCAGCUCGUGUCGUGAGAUGUUGGGUUAAGUCCCGCAACGAGCGCAACCCUUGUUCACUGUUGCCAGCACGUUAUGGUGGGGACUCAGUGGAGACCGCCGGGGUCAACUCGGAGGAAGGUGGGGAUGACGUCAAGUCAUCAUGCCCCUUAUGUCCAGGGCUUCACGCAUGCUACAAUGGCUGGUACAGAGAGUGGCGAGCCUGUGAGGGUGAGCGAAUCUCGGAAAGCCGGUCUCAGUUCGGAUUGGGGUCUGCAACUCGACCUCAUGAAGUCGGAGUCGCUAGUAAUCGCAGAUCAGCAACGCUGCGGUGAAUACGUUCCCGGG
rnacentral:rRNA from 1 species